rnacentral:rRNA from 1 species
UACGUAGGGUGCAAGCGUUGUCCGGAAUUAUUGGGCGUAAAGAGCGUGUAGGCGGCCCGAUUAGUCUGCUGUGAAAGUCCAGGGCUCAACCCUGGAAUGCCGGUGGAUACUGUCGGGCUAGAGUCCGGAAGGGGCGAGUGGAAUUCCUGGUGUAGCGGUGAAAUGCGCAGAUAUCAGGAGGAACACCGGUGGCGAAGGCGGGUCUCUGGGCCGAUACUGACGCUGAGGAGCGAAAGCGUGGGGAGCGAACAGG